GAGUUUGAUCCUGGCUCAGAUUGAACGCUGGCGGCAUGCCUUACACAUGCAAGUCGAACGGCAGCAUGAUCUAGCUUGCUAGAUUGAUGGCGAGUGGCGAACGGGUGAGUAAUACAUCGGAACGUGCCCUGUAGUGGGGGAUAACUAGUCGAAAGAUUAGCUAAUACCGCAUACGACCUGAGGGUGAAAGUGGGGGACCGCAAGGCCUCAUGCUAUAGGAGCGGCCGAUGUCUGAUUAGCUAGUUGGUGGGGUAAAGGCCCACCAAGGCGACGAUCAGUAGCUGGUCUGAGAGGACGAUCAGCCACACUGGGACUGAGACACGGCCCAGACUCCUACGGGAGGCAGCAGUGGGGAAUUUUGGACAAUGGGCGAAAGCCUGAUCCAGCAAUGCCGCGUGUGUGAGAA
rnacentral:rRNA from 1 species